rnacentral:rRNA from 1 species
UGGGGGAUAUUAGUCAAUGGAGGAAACUCUGAACUAGCGACGCCGCGUGAGGGAAGAAGGUCUUCGGAUUGUAAACCUCUGUCUUCGGGGACGAUAAUGACGGUACCCGAGGAGGAAGCCCCGGCUAACUACGUGCCAGCAGCCGCGGUAAUACGUAGGGGGCAAGCGUUAUCCGGAUUUAUUGGGUGUAAAGGGUGCGUAGGCGGGAAGGCAAGUUGAAUGUGAAAUACCGGGGCUCAACUCCGGGGCUGCGUUCAAAACUGUUUUUCUUGAGUACAGCAGAGGCAAGCGGAAUUCCCAGUGUAGCGGUAAUAUGCGUAGAUAUUGGGAGGAACACCGGUGGCGAAGGCGGCUCACUAGACAGUUUCUGACGCUAAGAUACGAAAGCGUGGGGAGCAAACA